UCUUUGAUGUAAAGAAUCUUUGUCUUGUG
rnacentral:piRNA from 1 species